UACGUAGGGCGCAAGCGUUGUCCGGAAUUAUUGGGCGUAAAGAGCUCGUAGGCGGUCUGUCACGUCUGCCGUGAAAACCCGAGGCUUAACCUCGUGGCUUGCGGUGGAUACGGGCAGACUAGAGGUAGGUAGGGGGAGAACGGAAUUCCCGGUGUAGCGGUGAAAUGCGCAGAUAUCGGGAGGAACACCAGUGGCAAAGGCGGCGAUCUGGGAAGAUACUGACACUGAGGUGCGAAAGCGUGGGGAGCAAACAGGG
rnacentral:rRNA from 1 species